rnacentral:rRNA from 1 species
UACGUAGGGUGCAAGCGUUGUCCGGAAUUAUUGGGCGUAAAGAGCUCGUAGGCGGUUUGUCGCGUCUGCUGUGAAAACUCGGGGCUUAACCCCGGGCCUGCAGUGGGUACGGGCAGACUAGAGUGCGGUAGGGGAGACUGGAAUUCCUGGUGUAGCGGUGAAAUGCGCAGAUAUCAGGAGGAACACCGGUGGCGAAGGCGGCUCUCUGGGACGGUACUGACGCUGAGACGCGAAAGCGUGGGGGAGCGAACAGG